UCUACUGUAUUCUAUUCUGCUCUACUCUACUUAAUUCUACUCUACUCAUAUUCUACACUAUUAUACUCUACUCUACUCGAUUCUACACUACUCUAUUCUGCACUAUUCCACAUUAUUCUACUCUACUCUAUUGUACUAUUUAUACUAUUUAUACUACUCUAUUCAACACAAUUCUACUCUAUUCUACUCUAUUCUGCUCUUCUCUUUUCUACUCUACUAUAUUCUACUCUAUUCUACUCUGCUCUAUUCUACUAUAUUCUGCUCUAUCCUACUCUAUUCUAUUUUAUUAUAGUCUAUUCUACUAUGUUCUAUUCUACUUUACUCUUCUCUAUUCUACUAUACAGUACUAUAUUGGCCCUCCAGAUCGAUAGCUCAAACAGAACACUGCUCUAUCUUUCUGUAGGAUGAAAAACAACUCCCAUUCCUGAGGUUACAGGGGAAUGCGUACUCUAUUGACAUCACAAACAACCACACUAUUGAUUUCGUAGUUAUUUGUUGUCAGUGUAUAGUCUUCUGUAAUGUGCACAUUAUCCAGGCUGGACUUCCUGUAGUGAGACCUUGGACAUUGAUAUUCUAUUGCUCCUAGCACCAGUGGAGUCUUGUCUACAGUGCGGACUGAAGAGGGUGACCUUUCCCAGAAUGCAUUGCCAGUUACACUAACAACCCUCGAUCAGUCAAUCAAAUAGUCCUUGAUAAGAUAUCCUAGUCGAUAAAAAAAUGGAGUAUCCCACAAUGUUCUCAGAGAAAGACUGCAAAUUGUCUCUGAAUAUAUGACAUUUUACAGCAAUCUGAAAUGUGGCUACGCUCGGUGACAUCAUAGUAGCAAAAGUUUAAUUACUGAAUGAUCAUAGCUGAACCUUGUUACCUCUCCCUUAUUUAAUUACAGUCAAUUAGUCAAUCUUCCAUUACAUGGCUCUGAUGAGAGACCGUGAGACUUCUGAUCUGAUCAAACCAUUGAUCAGAGAGAAGACACAGACUGCACAAUCUAAGAAAAUAAGUAGGAAGAUUUCUCCUGCCUGUGCAAUUACAACUGACAUUUUGAAUUAUAUAACUCAACUGAAGCUCACUAAAAACAUCCAGCGUGUAACCCCCUAUGUGGGACCAUCGUGUCAUCCGGCUGUAUCCCGGCAGGCAGUGUCAGGGGCUCAGGUCUCUCUAUGGCCCAGAGCAGCCCAUCGUCUCCCCUCCCCUCUCUACACUCCUCGGGCCGUGUCCAUCGGCCUGAACACUAGAACAGGGAUCCAUGCUGAGGUCAUUUGUUUCAAUCAAUUAAACCGACAUCCGCUUGUAUUAAACUCCAAUAACCCCGUCCGUACCUUACACAGCUCUCUCUCUGUCUGCACAAACAUGGUAAUAGAACAAAACAAGGGCUCUCCAUUUCACAGGGAAUACAUCAUUAAUUAUUAAUUAUUUUAGAGUCAUAAACAUUAUUUUUUUUCUCAAAGUACAUUUUAGGUUGAGAUUCCUAUUUUUUGUUGUUGUAAUAAUUAAUUCAAAAUGGGAUAAAUUAAGUGUAACAAUGCGGAUAGAAAACAGGUUCACUGAUUAGAAGAGCCCAUAGGCUAUUGUUUUGAAUGUUUGUGUGAGAGGGGGAAAGUGUAGGCCUACAGUAUGCUGGUAGAACAGCCUAUAGUUCAAGUCCCCAGAAUAGUCCACAGCUUGUAAUGAUGUUCAGUACAGAUCCUGGUCAUUACUCCUCAUUGUGAACUAGCUAUGCUAACUGGAAAUGAACACACAGGCGAAUUACAAUUGAGUGGAGCUGCAAGAGGAAGUCUUUAAAACGUGGUCACUCUGAUGGCAGGCAGCAUCCUCUCUAAAGGAACGAGGUCACUCUGAUGGCAGGCAGCAUCGUCUCUAAAGGAAGGAGGUCACUCUGAUGGCAGGCAGCAUCCUCUCUAAAGGAACGAGGUCACUCUGAUGGCAGGCAGCAUCCUCUCUAAAGGAACGAGGUCACUCUGAUGGCAGGCAGCAUCCUCUCUAAAGGAACGAGGUCACUCUGAUGGCAGGCAGCAUCCUCUCUAAAGGAACGAGGUCACUCUGAUGGCAGGCAGCAUCCUCUUCAAAGGAAGGAGGUCACUCUGAUGGCAGGCAGCAUCCUCUCUAAAGGAACGAGGUCACUCUGAUGGCAGGCAGCAUCCUCUUCAAAGGAAGGUCACUCUGAUGGCAGGCAGCAUCCUCUUCAAAGGAAGGAGGUCACUCUGAUGGCAGGCAGCAUCCUCUCUAAAGCAACACACACGUACGCAUUAAAUCACACACAAAUAUGCAGAUGAACAAACACAAUUAUUACAUGCUAUUAUAAUAAUAAUGCUAUAGCCAUGCUAUAAUA